rnacentral:sRNA from 12 species
AGCUUCAACAUCCCCGUCGGUCGGGUUCGCCAUGGCGAAUAGUGGAUCGACUGGAGCC